AGUGAACGCUGGCGGUAGGCCUAACACAUGCAAGUCGAACGGCAGCACAGUAAGAGCUUGCUCUUACGGGUGGCGAGUGGCGGACGGGUGAGGAAUACAUCGGAAUCUACUUUUUCGUGGGGGAUAACGUGGGGAAACUUACGCUAAUACCGCAUACGACCUACGGGUGAAAGCAGGGGAUCUUCGGACCUUGCGCGAUUGAAUGAGCCGAUGUCGGAUUAGCUAGUUGGCGGGGUAAAGGCCCACCAAGGCGACGAUCCGUAGCUGGUCUGAGAGGAUGAUCAGCCACACUGGAACUGAGACACGGUCCAGACUCCUACGGGAGGCAGCAGUGGGGAAUAUUGGACAAUGGGCGCAAGCCUGAUCCAGCCAUACCGCGUGGGUGAAGAAGGCCUUCGGGUUGUAAAGCCCUUUUGUUGGGAAAGAAAAGCAGCGGGUUAAUACCCCGCUGUUCUGACGGUACCCAAAGAAUAAGCACCGGCUAACUUCGUG
rnacentral:rRNA from 1 species